AAAAGAGGCACACACACAAAAAAUCUCAGAAGAGUGAGUUCUUAAAGGAUCGGGACCAUACCUGACUUCUGCAGUGUCCUCUAUGGAGGUGUCGUGGGUGCCACACUUCAUUUCUGAUGCUCACAGCCAAAGAAUCCCAGCUAAGAAAGACACAAACCCUGAAUCUGAGGAGCAUGCAGUCUCGUUAGGCCAAUGGAAGAUGGAAAAAAUCAUGUGUUAGAGUGUAGCAAGAGUAAAUAUUUCUGAAGAAAAGAAAGGACUUUCUAUAUCAACAUUGGAAAAACUGGGCAAAAGCAAGUUUUGUGCUCAAUUGUCC
rnacentral:lncRNA from 1 species